GGAAUACUAUGAAGAUAAAAUACCACACAUUACAAGACUUAGCUUUUAAUAAAUCAUGAUAAAAGAAAGCCCAGCCAGAACUUCCAGAAGAACUUCCCACAAAAAAAUCAUCAAAAAACACAAUAGCUGUAUAGACAUAAUAUUUUGCACACAAUAGUGUGCUUUAACAAAUAUUUCAUCAUGGUGCUAUUUACAACGUUUUCAUUAGUGGGCUAGUAUAGAUAUUAUGGUGGAAGACAACUUGAUAAUGGUAAUUACAAAUAAGCACAUUUUCACUAGUAAAAUGAUUUGUAGUCGAUAUUAAUAAGUCAUUGCUGAACAGACACAUGCAGAAACCUUGGUAUAGGACCACUGCUACACAAACCCAUGCUAUAAACUCGGUAUAAUAGUAUCAAUGUCUCAAGAACGCUACAUCAGUAUUAGUGAUAAGUAAUAACACGAAUUGUUACUACAAAUGUUUCUCAAAUGUAGCAAAAGGUGGUAAGUUAUCGCUAUGAAAUUAGACAGCAGUGACGGCCCAAACGUCUGGCUAUAACCAGUAGUCAAAUAGGAUGGGGGAAUAGGGUAAAAGGGGGAGAUUAGAAGGGAGUUCAAGUAAUUAGCUUUCCCUAUUGUGCCUUCGUGGGCACCCCUUACCCCAAAAAUGUCCCUGUCCUGUUUGGGAAAUACUUAUCACUACUCCAC